GUCUACGGCCAUGCCACCCUGAACAAGCCCGAUCCUGUCUGACCUCAGAAGCUAAGCAGGGUCGGGCCUGGUUAAUACUUGGAUGGGAGACCACCUAGGAAGACCAGGUGCUGCAGGUG
rnacentral:rRNA from 1 species